AGAGUUUGAUCCUGGCUCAGGAUGAACGCUGGCGGCGUGCCUAAUACAUGCAAGUCGAGCGAACGGACGAGAAGCUUGCUUCUCUGAUGUUAGCGGCGGACGGGUGAGUAACACGUGGAUAACCUACCUAUAAGACUGGGAUAACUUCGGGAAACCGGAGCUAGUACCGGAUAAUAUUUUGAACCGCAUGGUUCAAAAGUGAAAGACGGUCUUGCUGUCACUUAUAGAUGGAUCCGCGCUGCAUUAGCUAGUUGGUAAGGUAACGGCUUACCAAGGCAACGAUGCAUAGCCGACCUGAGAGGGUGAUCGGCCACACUGGAACUGAGACACGGUCCAGACUCCUACGGGAGGCAGCAGUAGGGAAUCUUCCGCAAUGGGCGAAAGCCUGACGGAGCAACGCCGCGUGAGUGAUGAAGGUCUUCGGAUCGUAAAACUCUGUUAUUAGGGAAGAACAUAUGUGUAAGUAACUGUGCACAUCUUGACGGUACCUAAUCAGAAAGCCACGGCUAACUACGUGCCAGCAGCCGCGGUAAUACGUAGGUGGCAAGCGUUAUCCGGAAUUAUUGGGCGUAAAGCGCGCGUAGGCGGUUUUUUAAGUCUGAUGUGAAAGCCCACGGCUCAACCGUGGAGGGUCAUUGGAAACUGGAAAACUUGAGUGCAGAAGAGGAAAGUGGAAUUCCAUGUGUAGCGGUGAAAUGCGCAGAGAUAUGGAGGAACACCAGUGGCGAAGGCGACUUUCUGGUCUGUAACUGACGCUGAUGUGCGAAAGCGUGGGGAUCAAACAGGAUUAGAUACCCUGGUAGUCCACGCCGUAAACGAUGAGUGCUAAGUGUUAGGGGGUUUCCGCCCCUUAGUGCUGCAGCUAACGCAUUAAGCACUCCGCCUGGGGAGUACGACCGCAAGGUUGAAACUCAAAGGAAUUGACGGGGACCCGCACAAGCGGUGGAGCAUGUGGUUUAAUUCGAAGCAACGCGAAGAACCUUACCAAAUCUUGACAUCCUUUGACAACUCUAGAGAUAGAGCCUUCCCCUUCGGGGGACAAAGUGACAGGUGGUGCAUGGUUGUCGUCAGCUCGUGUCGUGAGAUGUUGGGUUAAGUCCCGCAACGAGCGCAACCCUUAAGCUUAGUUGCCAUCAUUAAGUUGGGCACUCUAAGUUGACUGCCGGUGACAAACCGGAGGAAGGUGGGGAUGACGUCAAAUCAUCAUGCCCCUUAUGAUUUGGGCUACACACGUGCUACAAUGGACAAUACAAAGGGUAGCGAAACCGCGAGGUCAAGCAAAUCCCAUAAAGUUGUUCUCAGUUCGGAUUGUAGUCUGCAACUCGACUACAUGAAGCUGGAAUCGCUAGUAAUCGUAGAUCAGCAUGCUACGGUGAAUACGUUCCCGGGUCUUGUACACACCGC
rnacentral:rRNA from 1 species